UUGCAUGAUGAAGCGGCACUGGGCUCCGAAUAUAUCGCAUGAGCAAGAGAAGCCAUUUUGCGGCAGGCCUAGAAAACCUCGCCCACUGACU
rfam:Hirsutella minnesotensis 3608 unplaced genomic scaffold MNSD_Scf_6, whole genome shotgun sequence.